UAGGGAAUAUUGCACAAUGGGCGAAAGCCUGAUGCAGCAACGCCGCGUGAGUGAUGAAGGCCUUCGGGUCGUAAAGCUCUGUCGCAAGGGAAAAUUCAAGAUUGUACCUUGUAAGAAAGGACCGGCCAACUUCGUGCCAGCAGCCGCGGUAAUACGGGGGGUCCUAGCGUUGUUCGGAAUUACUGGGCGUAAAGCGUUUGUAGGCGGCUUUGUAAGUUAAAUGUGAAAGCCUGGGGCCUAACCCCAGAAGUGCAUUUAAUACUGCAAAGCUUGAGUAUGAGAGAGGAUGAUGGAAUGGCUAGUGUAGUGGUGAAAUACGUAGAUAUUAGCCGGAACAUCGGUGGCGAAAGCGGUCAUCUGGCUCAAUACUGACGCUGAGAAACGAAAGCGUGGGGAUCAAACAGG
rnacentral:rRNA from 1 species